UACGUAGGGGGCAAGCGUUGUCCGGAUUUAUUGGGCGUAAAGAGCGUGUAGGCGGCUGGGUAGGUCCGUUGUGAAAACUCGAGGCUCAACCUCGAGACGCCGAUGGAAACCCUCCAGCUAGAGUCCGGAAGAGGAGAGUGGAAUUCCUGGUGUAGCGGUGGAAUGCGCAGAUAUCAGGAAGAACACCCGUGGCGAAGGCGGCUCUCUGGAACGCAACUGACGCUGAGACGCGAAAGCGUGGGGAGCAAACAGG
rnacentral:rRNA from 1 species